UACGAAGGGGGCUAGCGUUGCUCGGAAUCACUGGGCGUAAAGGGUGCGUAGGCGGCCUGUUAAGUCAGGGGUGAAAGACGGUAGCUCAACUAUCGCAGUGCCCUUGAUACUGAUGGGCUUGAAUGGACUAGAGGUAGGCGGAAUGAGACAAGUAGCGGUGAAAUGCAUAGAUAUGUCUCAGAACACCGAUUGCGAAGGCGACUACCUGGCCUGUUCUUGACGCUGAGGCGCGAAAGCUAGGGGAGCAAACGGG
rnacentral:rRNA from 1 species